UACGUAGGGUGCGAGCGUUAAUCGGAAUUACUGGGCGUAAAGCGUGCGCAGUCGGUUCGUUGUGUCGGCGGUGAAAGCCCCGGGCUUAACCUGGGAAUGGCCGUUGAAACUGGCGAACUGGAGUGUGGCAGAGGGGGGUGGAAUUCCGCGUGUAGCAGUGAAAUGCGUAGAGAUCCGGAAGAACACCGGUGGCGAAGGCGGCCUGCUGGGCAGUUGCUGACACUGAGGCGCGAAAGCGUGGGGAGCAAACAGG
rnacentral:rRNA from 1 species